rnacentral:lncRNA from 1 species
UGCAUCGGAGAAACACGAGUGCAUAAAAGAGCUACAUUGAUCAUGAUCAUCGCUUCCUCUUUGUUGAAAUCUUCACCUAGCCUCUCAUCAAUUAGGUCCAUUAUGUUACCUUCUUCCUUUAAGAAAUGCACCUGAUAAAGAUGAAAUACAAACAAACUUCAAGAUAUUGUGAUGAAGACUCAAAUUGGAUAGAAGGUAUAAAGUUAUGGAUGUGUUAGUUACCCAAUCAACAAGAGAGAAGCAUUCAUCCCUUGGCUUAUUCAUGGUGUUAUGCUUCCCACUAACAAUUUCCAAGGCAACGACUCCAAAACUAUAAACAUCCACUUUCUCCGUCAAAUAUCCGUGCAUUGCAUAUUCUGGAGCCAUAUAUCCACUGCAACAUCAAAAUUUAUAUAUUAACUCAAGUGGAUUAAACUAAAUUUUAAGAGGUUUUAUUCUUUUCUUCCUCACAUUACACUUAGAAAAUGAUAAAUACCCUUCGACAAAUUCCAUAAAAAAAAAGAACAAAUUGUAUAUAGAACUCACUAAGUGCCGGCUACUCUAGUAGUUAUAUGUGUGUGUCCGUCAUCUUUAAGCUUGGCCAAACCAAAAUCCGAUAUCUUUGGAUUGAGAUCUUUAUCGAGCAACACAUUAGUUGCUUUGAUGUCCCUGUGAACUAUCUUAAGCCUCGACUCUUCAUGUAGGUAAGCCAAACCUCUAGCAAUACCGACGCAAAUUUUCUUCCUUGUCGACCAAGUCAAUUUCAAUGGACAGUUUUCUUUGGCUUCAUUUUCAAAUGUCAUAGAAAAUUAGACGACAAAAUCAUAUGGUGUGUGUACACUGUACACAGAGAGACACACACAACAUUGUAGAUUAUAUUAAUGAAAGAGCUACAAAACUUGACUACAUGGAUAAAAGGUUUACCAAACAAAGCACAAGCAAGGCUAUUAUUUUCCAUGUAUUCAUAUAUUAGCAAUAACUGAUCUCCCUCCAUACAGCAACCGUAGAGCUUAACUAGACAAGGGUGUUGCAAAGCAGAAAUCAAGCCGAUCUCGUUUAUAAAUUCGCGGUUCCCUUGCUUUGAUUUAGAAGAAAGCUGCUUAACAGCUACUAUUUUGCCGUCUGAAAGAACACCCUGCAAUUUCAGGAGUUUAUAUUAUAUCUAUAUAUGAAAGAAGUUAUCGAGAAGUGAAAACAAUAAUAGAUAUUUCAAUGACAUUCAAAUUUCAAAUGAAAGUGUAGAUUGUCCACAAUACCUUGUAAACAGGACCAAACCCGCCCUCUCCAAUCUUAAACGCAAUAUCAAAGUUGUUAGUUGCUGCUUUGAUUUGCCGUAACGUAAAUAGCCCAGGUUGGAAAUCUAAACCCUUUAGCUCUGUUGAUUGCAGUAAAAAAGAAUAUAUAAAUAAAAUCAGAGAUAUUUUUUGAGUAACUUCCACAUCUAGACAUAAUGGCAGCUUUGACUAAAGAAUCUAUAUUUUUAUAAAAUCAAAUUCAGCCUGUUAUGUGUAUAAAGGAAUUUCCAAAAAUUCAUUUUUAUGGUUGCAAAAUCCCAAUUUUGCAUCAAAAUUCCUUAGAGUUUUAGAGUAAAACUAUCUUAGGUCUUACCCCUUUCUAACGGACCUAUAUGUUGUCGACAUCUUCUCCACCAAUAUAUACUGAAUACCAGUAAGAUAACUAGUCCUCCAGCAACAGCAGUCACGACAAUUUUCCAAACAGGCAUGCUACUGCGCUUUUCCACUGGGGGUGUAAAGUCUGUUUAAUUAUGAUAAAAUAUAAAAGACUUGCAUAUAGACCAUAUUAGAGGAUGAUGGAAUAAGAAGAACCAUGAAGAACUAUAACUGACCAGGAUCAACCGAUAUGGCCGAUAUAAGAGGACCAUAUACUGAAUCAAAUGGGAUACCGGUUGUCCCUUUCCCCGCCCAAUGAAGGCGAAUCUCCAACGUAUUACUAGUCACAUUAGCAGUGAAAUUCUUUAUGAUUGCCUUACCAACUCCACCGGCUUCUUUUGCAAUAUUGAAAUCCUUCAGCACCAACCUUCCCUGCAAAAUGGUUUAUAAUGGUCAAAGGAAACUUGUUCAAUACUAAACAUGUUGCUGAAAAACAUAAGAUGAUGAGAUCAUGCACCUGAAUAUAUAUGUCAAAUAUACGUCUUCCAAGGCUGUUAUAUGUUUGAUCAUCCGUAAACAUUAUCUCCGCAAAAUGGAGAUUUACACUGUAGUUUCCAUUUCCCAGGCAAAAUCCAUAAUAUGUUAGAGAAAGCGGCGAAACCCGUGCAUCCAUAUACAGUUUGGCAUUUUCCAUGGCAAGGUUGGUUUUUUUAGACCAGGUAUAGUAGUCCGCAAGGCUACUAUUACUAUCGAAGAAGUGACCAGUGUUGCUAAGUGCCCAGUUUGAUCCAGUUCGCUGAAAGCUUGCUGGUCCAACUUGACUUGAAUCAUCAUCAUAUGUCAAGCUUUCAUUAGAAGUUAUUUGCUUACCACCACAAUUUAUACGGAGAGAGUACGAAGCUGGAAUGGUCAAAAGAAAAAAAAUGCUAAGUACAAUAAGAUGAUCACAUUAUAAAUAAAAAUUGUAAGAUUAGAACCUAGAACAACAACCUUGGUUCGAAAGAAAACAAAUAUGAAAAACGCAAAAAGAGAAUACAAGGAUUUAUUGUAGAAAUAAGCUCAAAUAAGCAUUUGUAAGCUCAAAUAAGCCAAUUCAAACAGGCCCUAAGUAGAAAUUAUUAAGUUAAAAGCACCAGCAGGUAUCCUACAAUCUAAAGGAAAACCACGACAAAUCAACUUACUUUUAGGACAGCUGAAGUUCCCCAAACAUGAAACCCUUCCCCUAAGAAAAAAUAAUGGUGUGUAACAUAUCAGCAUAAUGACAUUAUAAAAUGUAUAAGCUAUAUGCAUAAAAUAAUUUAUUAUGAUUCAUGAGUAGUACAAAACUUACAAGUUAUUUCGCUUUGAAGAUGAUGCAAACAAGUUCCUGCGGCACAUGGUAAACAGAAAAAAGAUUAUAUAGUUUCUUAAAAUUGUUGAAACAAAAAAAGUAUGAAAAAACAAGGAUUCUUACACGGUUCCCUGUUGACAUGUCAACUGCUCUGGAUUUUCAAUGCUCAAAUUGUUAUACGAAAGAUCUCUGCAUGUGUCAAAUUAUGCAUGUGAUUCAGAAAUAAAGAUGUAACAAAGAACUAUAUGUAACGCUUUUUGGUAUAGAAAUAUCGAAAACUAGUUGUACAAAAAUUUAGCAUGCAGAAGUAAUAAUUAACCUCAAUAAACUAAAUAAGCAGCGUUUGAAGGAUUACUCACGUGUAGUCUGGUCUAGCAAUCCAAUUUGGAAGCGGUCCAGUAAACAGGUUUCCAGUUAAGUAUCUAAGUAAAACAGUAAGAUAAGAUUAAUGAAGACUAGAUUAUAGAUUAAUGAUAUCAAGAAAGAACUUUCUCCAAUGUUCUCAUCUUUCUCCUUAUCUCCACUUAUAGAUUUGCCUAUUUUCUAAUCAUUCUCAAUUUAGAUUUUCAGCGAGAGGCAGUGACAUGAUUAUCUCAUGGUGAUUUUAGAAUUAUAUAUAAAUUUAUUGGUCCGUAGUUUAAGAACAAAAAUAAAUAAAAUGUAUGCACAUAGACAUAGUUCUAGAUUGCAGUUCGCAACUGCAAUAGGGUUUUAGAGGUUUCUGCAAUGGCAUCUAUUAGAGAUAUAGAUUAGUAGCAUAUUAGUCCUAGUAGAGAGUAGUAUAAAUAACUUCUAACCACCCCAUUAGAGGGACUUUUCUCAUUUUGUAAUAUUCCAUUUCCAUCAAUAGAAAGAGUUUCUUAGUUUUCUCUCCUUCCUUCCAUGGAUGCCAUGCUUCCUAACAGCAUCACACUGCACUUGUGGCCGUAUUUUCCUGCACUGUUGCAGUGUAAUUGCAUUUUAGAACCAUGCAUGCACAUGGACUUGAAAUGGAUAAAUAUUCAUGAGAGAAAUGAAUCAGAUUCACUAUUUUCCACUUGCGGCUCUAUCUAAAAUCCAAUCUAUUAAUAAUCUCGUUGCUUCGUUGCAAACAAUUCUAACCUUGACUACAUCUGUUUAAAUCACACUAAUAUCUUGCAGGUAUCUUUAAGAAUUCAAUUUGGUGUAUACAAGAAACUCGGAGGAUAUUGCUUACAGCAUAUUUAUGUUCUUCAGGCCACCCAAGGUGUUCGGAAUCGGUCCAGUUAAUUUGUUAAAGCUGAGAUCUCUGAAAAAAAUUAUGCUCAGAAUAAAUAUUAUUCGACAAGAAAAAUGGUAUAGUCCCCAUAACAUAAUAAAAGAAGCAUCUUGUUUUUCACCAAAAUAUGAGUACUGAUUGCAUCUAUUGUAACUGGUUCUAACACAUGUGAAUAAUGCAAGUGAAUAAUGCAAGAAACUUCCUAGCAUUACUUACAAAGAUUUUAAAGUAGUAAUAUGUCCAAGAUAGUCGGGAACUUCUCCUAUAAGAUUGCAACUCCUCAGCACUCUGUCAAAAAAAUUGAUACUAUGUAAAUUUUUAAGUGCAAACAUGCACUUAUGCUAAUAAUCCAAGCAAUUCCCUUACAAUGUUUCAAUAUUUGUCAAGCCAAUAAGUUGCGGAAAUGGAGAAUCUGAUCCUUUCAAGUCGCUUAUUCUCCUGCAUAACAUUUCUUAAUCACUGUAAAACUCAAUAAGAGAAAAAUUGAAUUUUAAAUCCUUGACCAAAAUUUAUAAAGCACUGACACAAAUACCGAACACGAUACUGACGUUGACAUACAUGUAGUGUGUCGGACACUAGACUCGCAUUCAAUUUGAAACAUCGGUGUUAAAGAUCGCAAGAAAAUACAUCAUACUUACAAGUCAUUGAGGUUUUUCAGAUAUGAAAUUCCAGAAGGAAUUGGACCACUCAACCCACUCCCUUGCAUCACCCUGUCAAAUUAAAAGCAAUUCUUUCAACAAACCAGCUUAACUAAGAAAAAAAAUUAUGAUUUAGAAUUUCACGAGAAGAAACAAAAAGGUUCACACAUUCUCUCAAGAAUUGUCCAGCUCUGAAUGAAAUAAGGUAUAGUUCCAGAAAAUUGAUUGUCACAAAGUCGACUGCAUUUUCAGAAGGUAAACACAAUGAAUAAGAUAUUACGGUUCAUAUGAACAUCAAUAGAAUGAAUGUUUUUAAGUGUACCAAAAACAAUUAAGGGAAGGAUUUGUUACAUGUGCUUCAGUUUAGUGAGCUUAGCAAACGUUGCAGGUAAAUUACCAGUAAAAAAGUUCGAGGUAAGAAGCCUACAACAACAUUGAAAUUGGAAUUAGGUAUUGCAACUCUCAGUACGGUAAAAAUGAAUAAUUUCACCAAUUUUUUAGUUGUAGCAAUUUAGAAAAUGGCAGUGUAAUCACUUGCGGAUCACAUAACAUAGCAGUUUGUUCAAAUUCGGCUAUACUAUAACAUUGCUAUAGCCGCUAUUUGACAAAACUGGAAUAUAGAAAUUGUGAAUUCUACAAAGGAGCUUACAGUCUUUCAAGCUGGUGAAGAUUCCCAAGCUCUGGUGGAAGCUCUCCAGAUAACUGAUUGAACUUCAGAAUCCUAUGCAUUUAGUGUAUCAAACUUUAAGUUACUUGAAAGUUUUCAUAAAAUCUACAUAGGCAAAUUACUUACAAUUUUUGCAUAGUGCUGAUGUUUCCAAGCUCUUUCGGGAUUGAACCCGUUAAUCGGUUUCCUAUGAGUGAACUGUCACAAAGCAUGCAAAACUACUUAUAAGAUUAUAUUUCAAAAAGAAAACAAUAAUCUAAAACAAAAAUUUACAUAAAAAAUACCUAUUUCUUAGAAUUAUUUACUAUUUCUAAUAAUAGUAAUAAGAAUAGGAAAUAAAAGAAUGGUUAAGGGGAAAUACAUGUUGACAAGAUUCAUGGAACCCCAUUGUGGAGGGAUUGUACCAUUAAGGUAGUUGUUUGAGAGAUCACUGUACCACAUUAAGUAAAAUAAUCAAACAUUAAUACUGAAUUAUGAUAAUGAUAAAAAUUUAGUAAGGUAAAAUUAGAAUAACAUACAUUUGUUGGAGGUAAGGCAAUCUCACAAGUUCCUUUGGAAGUGUGCCAGAAAGAUUUUGUGAUCUGAGAACACUGCAUCAUAAUUAAUUAUAAGCUUGUGUUUUGACUCUAUAAGCUUGUGUAGCACCUUGAAAAAUAGGUUAUAAAUGAUGGACAGCUUAUAAGUCAAUUAUGUGCGAGUUGAGUUAGGUCCAAUUUAAAAUACUAAUAAUCUAUAAGAGCAUAUUGAUGCGAGUAUUUAUAUUCAAGCACCAAGUUCAAUAGUAUACAAUAUGAAAGAGAUUAUUGAAGGAAAAAGUACCGCAUAACAUAAAGAUAAAACUUAAAAUUAGUUUAUAAAGAAUAAUUGUUUUAUAGGAUUAGUAAGGCACAGUGUAAAAAUAUAAUAAUACCUGCACCAAACACAAAAUCGACACACAUAUGGAGAGCAAGAAAAUAACAUACAUGCUAACAAUAUGACAGACAGUGGCAUUGGCAAAAGUGCAAUUGCAUGUGACAGCAUUUUCAAACCCUUUGACUUUCACAGAAGAUUUCCAAUUAUUUUCUCCACUACAUGGAUCUUUGUUGAAGUCCCAAUCCUUCUUCCCAAGUGUCUUAGCUACAUCUUUCAUAACCUGUGCUGUAUAUUAAUUCAAAACCAAAAUUUGUUUUAAUAUCCUCAUGGAGACGAAAAACUUAAACAGAUAGCGAAAAUCGAACCUGAAACCUUGAGGAGAGCACAUUCCAAAGUCUCAAGUCAAAAUGACUAGACCAACUUAAACUAAGAGAGACGUUUAUAAGGUACAUACCUUCUUCUUGUAAGAGAGUAGCUCCACUAGCAAAUGAAGAGAUCAAACAAAAGGAAAGAAACAAAAGAUGCAAAGACUUGUUCAUGAUAGGCUUCAUAUUUGAAACAAGUGAAUGAAAGAAAAUGAAAUCAGUGGUUGAAAGUGUAAGGGUUAUAUUAAGCAAUUAUUGUAGCAUGAGAUACGUUCCCGGAAAGAGAUAUAUGGAAAAUAGACCACUCUAUGACUUAAUGAAAUGAAAAGUCAAUAGUAAUGUGAAAUAGACAAAAUUUAAGUAAGGGCCCGUGUACUUUCAUUUUUUCUGCUUUUUCAUUCAACUAGUACGUAGUAUAAGAUAAUAUACACUUGUUUACACUUACAAUAUUUUAAGUUGUUAACAAUGGUCUAUAAUCGAAGUUAUGAUAAUCCUUCAAAAAAAAUAAAAAAUCGAAGUUAUAAUAAGAACAAUGCAUGCACACCAUUUAGUUUAGGACAAAAAAAUCAUCAACAUCAUGAAAUAUAGAUUGUAUAUAACCAACCACACCAAGAGUUUUACAUUGAAAUAUUUAGUUUUGAUUAUCAUUGGUAUUUAUUUCAUUUUUUUUGUUUGAAUUCACAAAAUAGCACAAUCUUUGUUGACCAACCAUGGCCUCAAGUAAAAGUUUAAUGGAAAUGUUUCCCUCCUUUUUUUUAUAAUACUAACUAAUAUGGCCGCUGGUUUAAGAAGACUUCAACAGUUCGAUGACUUUUGUUUUCCACUUCCUUCUUUCCCAAUCACAUUUGAUUAUUUUAGUUUUUCACUAAGCACGUUCCAUCCAUAAUCAUGGGAUGCCCCAUCAACUCUUUUAAUAAGUGCUCUCCAUACCAUAACAUGACUUCCUUUCGUCAAACUCACGGAUUCGGCUAUACCUGCAAAACCAAUCAAAUGUAACGAGUUAAAACUUGCAAUACCUGUUCUUUGAUCCAUAUUGUGUGUAGAAACGUCCUAUCAAUUGAUCAACAAUGAUUUGGAACCAAGAUUUUGACAAAAGAUUUUUGAAAUGGGGAUUUUUUGUGGAAUGGUAUGGUGAGGUAAGGUGAUGAGUGAAUAGGACCUAGGGGUUUUCUUGUUUCGUGGGAGAAAAACAACGACAGUUAACUCCCGCUGGCUCCACCGGCAAUUAACUGCUGUCGGUUAACCCAACGGUAGUUAACUACCGCUGGGGACUCUAAUGUAAUUUACUUGUGUCAUUGUGAACUUUUGUAUGUCAAAAAGCAAUUUUCAAUGAUAAUUAAUUGUUAUGGGUACACUUAAAGUUAAAUGUAGAUGCGAUACCUAUUAGACCAUGUCCAAUGGUGUUUAAUGGGUAUGUUGAAAGCAACAUUCAACAAGUGAAAUGCUCCAAUGGCGGUGUUUAAUAGUGAUGUGGAUGAAAGAGAGGUUGAAUGGUUUCAACAAUGUUUAAUCUGACGCAAGGGAACACGUGGCGGACUUCAGUUGGCCAGAAAUGGCGCGUGAAGCUGCAGAGGCUGGAGAGAGAAACGGAAAUCAGGAUAGAUAUGGACACAUGUUCAGUUUUGAUUGGUUGUCCGGAUUCUUAUCAUUUUAAUAAUUGGACCUCAAUAUUUCGUUGUAAAUUAUUUUUUAAAAAAAAAAAAAACCAAAAUUCAUGAUUUUUUUCUCUCUAUAAAUAGAGACUUGGUUCAUUUGAUUUGGACAAAGAAAAAAAAACCAAGUUUUUCACUAUCUUAAUCUUAUUAUUAUCUUUCUAUUAGAAAACUAAGUGAAGUUUUAAUCUUAUUUUUAGUGAAAUGGAUCCCAAUAAUAACCAUUUCAACACCCAAAAUUAUUCUAAUUACCCAUUUAACUAAUAAAAUCCCAACAAUUAUCCAAAUCCAAAUCAAUUUUUCAACCAACGUCCUCAAAACUUACCUCAAAACAUACAUAAUUUUGGUUUUACACCAAAUUUCAACCAGUCAUCCUCUUUUCCAAACUUUCAUCCAUAUUAUGGAUCUAUGAUGAGAUAUCCAUCUCAAACACCACCGUUUAAUGGUUAUAUGCCAAUGGAGAAUGAAAAUUUUCCCAUUAUUGGUGCAUCUCAAUUUCCUGAAUUUCCAACACAUAUAACUCCUGGUGGCAUGGCUGUUGCUAAUGAAGUCACUCCAAAUCCAGAAGAUUCAACUCCUAAGAGCAACAAAAGUAAGGAACCAACAUGGAACACUGAACAACAUUUGGUGUUAAUUAGUGCAUGGAUUAAGUUUGGAACAAACAAUGUUGUCGGGAGAAUCCAGAGGGGUGAAACAUAUUGGGGUAAAAUUGAUGAGUAUUGUAUUGAGUAUGGCUCAUUUGAUUCUCCGCGGGAUCUAGUUGCAUGCCAAAACCGUUUUAAUUAUAUGAGCAAAGUAAUAAAUAAAUGGAUUAGUGCUUAUGAUGCCGCUAAGCGUUUGCAAGGAAGCGGUUGGUCGGAAGAUGAUAUUUUGGCAAAAGCGCAGGAAUAUUUGCAUGUGGGAAGAAUGUUCAAUUUACUUUAAACGAAGAAUGACACGCUCUCCGUGAUCAACCACGUUAUGGUAGUCAAAUGGGAGGAAAUGUUGGGUCAGGAAGUAGUGGAUCUAAGAGAUCUCAGGAGGACUUUGUAGGAUCUAGUGCUCGUCCAAUGGGUAGGGAGGAAGCUUAAAACAAAGGUAAAAAGAAAAUCAAGAACGCUGCCUUGGAGGAGGUGGAAAAGAAGUGGGUUGAAUUCAAAGAAAUCAAGGUGCAAGAGAUCGAACAAUUGAAAGAGUUCACCGCGGUGCAACAUGAGAAAUACAGAUUGAAGAAAAUGAAACUGUAUGUAAUGUUAAGUUCCGGAGAACAUCUCGAUGACCGGAAAAAAGAGAUGUUGGAAAACUUGGAACGUGAGCUGUUUGAAAAUUAAUUUCAAUCAAAUAUUUGUUUGUAUUCGGUAAUAAUUGUCAGUGUUGUCUAGUCCCAGUGUUUUCUUUAAUAAUUGUCAGUGUUUGCUUUAAUAAUUGUUAGUGUUGUCUAGUCCUCAGUGAUUGCUUUAUUAUCCCCAUUGAUAGUCCCCAAUGUUGUCUAGUCCCCUGUGACUUAUGUCACAUACUAUUUGCUUUAAUAAUUAUGCUCACUGUGUGCCCAUUAUUUCACAUACUAUUUGCUUUAAUAAUUAUCUCAACUAUUUGCUUUAAUACAAUACAAUAACUUAUUUCAAAUCCGUCAAUGUCCACCACACAAUGUACUUAUAUAUAGGGACUCAUAUCUACUUCCAAUUUCACAAAUCUCAUUCACAUCUACUUCCAAUUUCACAAAUCUCAUUUAUAUCUACUUCCAAUAUCACAAAAAACUAUUCAAUCUACUUCCAAAAAAACUAUUAAUGGACCCUUUUGAUAUCGAAGUUGUUGUACCCUGAUUUUGGACCUAAAAAUACUCGUUCAAAUUUCUUUUUUAACACUGAUAUUUGUCAAUUCUCUGUUAUUUUACUCUGAAUCUUUACUCUCUUUUUAAACGUAUUUUACUGCCUCUGUCUUUUCUGACAUUACAAGUCAUUUAAGAACUCUCUGAAACGUCGCAUUACUUUUCUUGCAUUUUNNNNNNNNNNNNNNNNNNNNNNNNNNNNNNNNNNNNNNNNNNNNNNNNNNNNNNNNNNNNNNNNNNNNNNNNNNNNNNNNNNNNNNNNNNNNNNNNNNNNGCGAACGGUGAUGGAAAUUUGAUUCCUCUAAUUCUUGAUCAUUAUGAACAACCUAGUACUGUUUAUCAUGUUCAUCUUUUUGAUAGUCCCUCUUAUGUUGCAGUCACUCCAAUUUUAACACAUCCGAAUUGUCAUGCUAGGGCUCGAUCCAUGAGACGAGCUUUUGGAGCAAAGAACAAAUUUGAUUUUGUUGAUGGUUCUAUACAUGUUUCUACGGGGUUUGAUCCAAGUUUCAAGUCUUGGAAUCGCUGCAAUAUGCUUGUUCAUUUGUGGAAAAUGAACUAUCUUGAUGAAUCAAUUGCGCACCACAUAGUUUUUCUGGAAAAUGCAAUUGACGUUUGGAAUGAGCUAAAGCAAAGAUUUUCGUAAGGUGAUUAUAUGAAACACGGCUGAAGUUUGCUAUAAGAAACAUGAUUUUCCUCCUCAUGCUAUCUACAUUAGGACUUGUUUGGGACUUUUGAAACUUAAAAGACCACUUUGGGAAAAACGAAAAACUUAAAAGGACCUUUAGAUGCAUUUGACCUUAAUAUUUCAAUAAGUUGAAUACAGAAUUUCCAAGAUAAAGUUUAUACUUCCAGUUUCUUUUUUUAUAUAUAUAGUUUAUUUUUUAAAAUCUAUAAGGAGAAUCCAUGCUGAUAGAACGCAUAUCUGUAUGAGACAUAAAUUCUGCAGUUUCACUUAUUAAGAUGCUCUCUUCUUGAGUCUCUGGUGUAUAAACUUUUUCACUUUGUUCACAAUACUGUUGAAUAAUUUCCAACUGUUGAUGAUACUGUUGAAUAAUUUCCAACUUAUUGCCUUCAAAAACUUGGUUUGUGUCUUGUAUAACUUCUUCAACAUCAGAUUGUCCUUCAAGCAUGCUUACAACUGAUGACAUGGUUGGUCUAUGCAUCGGAGAAACACGAGUGCAUAAAAGAGCUACAUUGAUCAUGAUCAUCGCUUCCUCUUUGUUGAAAUCUUCACCUAGCCUCUCAUCAAUUAGGUCCAUUAUGUUACCUUCUUCCUUUAAGAAAUGCACCUGAUAAAGAUGAAAUACAAACAAACUUCAAGAUAUUGUGAUGAAGACUCAAAUUGGAUAGAAGGUAUGAAGUUAUGGGUGUGUUAGUUACCCAAUCAACAAGAGAGAAGCAUUCAUCCCUUGGCUUAUUCAUGGUGUUGUGCUUCCCACUAACAAUUUCCAAGGCAACGACUCCAAAACUAUAAACAUCCACUUUCUCCGUCAAAUAUCCGUGCAUUGCAUAUUCUGGAGCCAUAUAUCCACUGCAACAUCGAAAUUUAUAUAUUAACUCAAGUGGAUUAAACUAAAUUUUAAGAGGUUUUAUUCUUUUCUUCCUCACAUUACACUUAGAAAAUGAUAAAUACCCUUCGACAAAUUCCAUAAAAAAAAAGAACACAUUGUAUAUAGAACUCACUAUGUGCCGGCUACUCUAGUAGUUAUAUGUGUGUGUCCGUCAUCUUUAAGCUUAGCCAAACCAAAAUCAGAUAUCUUUGGAUUGAGAUCUUUAUCGAGCAACACAUUAGUUGCUUUGAUGUCCCUGUGAACUAUCUUAAGCCUCGACUCUUCAUGUAGGUAAGCCAAACCUCUAGCAAUACCGACACAAAUGUUCUUCCUUGUCGACCAAGUCAAUUUCAAUUGAGCGUUUUCUUUGGCUUCAUUUUCAAAUGUCAUAGAAAAUUAGACAACAAAAUCAUAUGGUGUGUGUGUGUAUGCGCAGAGAGACACACAUAACAUUGUAGUGUAUGCGCAGAGAGACACACAUAACAUUGUAGAUUAUAUUAAUGAAAGUGCUACAAAACUUGACUACAUGGAAAAAAGUUUACCAAACAAAGCACAAGCAAGGCUAUUAUUUUCCAUGUAUUCAUAUAUUAGUAAUAACUGAUCUCCCUCCAUACAGCAACCAUAGAGCUUAACUAGACAAGGGUGUUGCAAAGCAGAAAUCAAGCCGAUCUCAUUUAUAAAUUCGCGGUUCCCUUGCUUUGAUUUAGAGGAAAGCUGCUUAACUGCUACUAUUGUGCCGUCUGAAAGAACACCCUGCAAUUCAAGGAAUUUAUAUUAUAUCUCUGUACGUGAAAGAAGUAAAAACAAUAAUAGAUAUAUCAAUGACAUUCAAAUUUGAAAUGAAAGUGUAGAUUGUACAAAUACCUUGUAAACCGGACCAAACCCUCCUUCUCCAAUCUUAUAGGCAAUAUCAAAGUUGUUAGUCGCUGCUUUGAUUUGCCGUAACGUAAAUAGCCCAGGUUGGAAAUCUAAACCCUUUAGCUCUGUUGAUUGAAGUAAAAAAGAAUAUAUAAAUAAAAUCAGAGAUAUUUUUUUGAGUAACUUCCACAUCAAUACUUUUAGCAAGUACAAAUCUAGACACAAUGGCAGCCUUGAGCUCUAUAUUUUUAUAAAAUCAAAUUCAGCUUAUUAUGCUUAUAAAAGAAUUUCCGAAAGUUAAUUUUCAGGGUCUUACCUCUUUCUAACGGACCCAUAUGUUGUCGACAUCUUCUCCACCAAUAUAUACCAAAUACUAGUAAGAUAACUAGUCCUCCAGCAACAACAAUCACAGCAAUUUCCCAAACAGGUAUGCUACUGCCUUUUUCCACCGGCGGUGUAAAGUCUGUUUAAUUAUGAUAUAAUAUAAAAGGUUGUCAUAUAGACCAUAUUAGAGGAUGAUGGAAUAAGAAGAACCAUGAAGAACUAUAACUGACCAGGAUCAACCGAUAUAGCCGAUAUAAGAGGACCAUGUACUGAAUCAAAUGGGAUACCGGUUGUCCCUUUCCCCGCCCAAUGAAGGCGAAUCUCCAACGUAUUACUAGUCACAUUAGCAGUGAACUUCUUUAUGAUUGCCUUACCAACUCCACCGGCUUCUUUUGCAAUAUUGAAAUCCUUCAGCACCAACCUUCCCUGCAAAAUGGUUUAUAACGGUCAAAGGAAACUUGUUCAAUACUAAACAUGUUGCUGAAAAACAUAAGAUGAUGAGAUCAUGCACCUGAAUAUAUAUGUCAAAUAUACGUCUUCCAAGGCUGUUAUAUGUUUGAUCAUCCGUAAACAUUAUCUCCGCAAAAUGGAGAUUUACAGUGUAGUUUCCAUUUCCCAGACAAAAGCCAUAAUAUGUUAGAGAAAGCGGCGAAACCCGUGCAUCCAUAUACAGUUCGGCAUUUUCCAUGGCAAGGUUAGUUUUGUUAGACCAGGUAUAGUAGUCCGCAAGGCUAUCGAAGAAGUGACCAGUGUUGCUAAGGGCCCAGUUUGAUCCAGUUCGCUGAAAGCUUGCUGGUCCAACUUGACUUGAAUCAUCAUCAUAUGUCAAACUUUCAUUCGAAGUUAUUUUCUUACCACCACAAUUUAUACGGAGAGAGUACGAAGCUGGAAUGGUCAAAAGAAAAAAAAUGCGAAGUACAAUAAGAUGAUCGUAUUAUAAAUAAAAAUUGUAAGAUUAGAACCUAGAACAACAACCUUGAUUCGAAAGAAAACAAAUAUGAAAAACACAAAAAGAGAAUACUAGGAUUUAUUGUAGAAAUAAGCUCAAAUAAGCAUUUGUAAGCUCAAAUAAGCCAAUUCAAACAGGCCCUAAGUAGAAAUUAUUAAGUUAAAAGCACCAGCAGGUAUCCUACAAUCUAAAGGAAAACCACGACAAAUCAACUUACUUUUAGGACAGCUGAAGUUCCCCAAACAUGAAACCCUUCCCCUAAGAAAUAAUGGUGUGUAACAUAUCAGCAUAAUCACAUUAUAAAAUAAUUUAUUAUGACUCAUGAGUAGUACAAAACUUACAAGUUAUUUCGCUUUGAAGAUGAUGCAAAUAAGUUCCUGCGGCACAUGGUAAACAGCAAAAGAUUAGAUAGUUUCUUAAAAUUGUUGAAACAAAAAAAGUAUGAAAAAACAAGGAUUCUUACACGGUUCCCUGUUGACAUGUCAACUGCUCUGGAUUUUCAAUGCUCAAAUUGUUAUACGAAAGAUCUCUGCAUGUGUCAAAUUAUGCAUGUGAUUCAGAAAUAAAGAUGUAACAAAGAACUAUAUGUAACACUUUUUGGUAUAGAAAUUUCGAAAACUAGUUGUACAAAAAUUUAGCAUGCAGAAGUAAUAAUUAACCUCAAUAAAUUAAAUAAGCAGCGUUUGAAGGAUUACUCACGUGUAGUCUGGUCUAGCAAUCCAAUUUGGAAGCGGUCCAGUAAAAAGGUUUCCAGUUAAGUAUCUAAGUAAAAAAAUAAGAUAAGAUUAAUGAAGACUAGAUUAAAGUUUAAGGAUAUCAAGAAACAACUUGCCCCAAUGUUCUACGCUUUCUCCUUAUUUCCAUUUAUAGAUUUACCUGUUUUUCUAAUCAUUCUCAAUUUAGAUUUUCAGCGAGAGGCCGCGACGUGAUUAUCUCAUGGUGAUAUAUAAAUUUAUUGGUCUGAAGUUUAAGAACAAAAAUAAAUAAAAUAUAUGCACAUAGACAUAGUUCUAGAUUGCAGUUCGCAACUGCAAUAGGGUUUUAGAGGUUUCUGCAACGGCAUCAAACUGCAAUUGUGGCCGUAUUUGCCUGCACUGUUGCAGUGUAAUUGCAUUUUAGAACCAUGCAUGCACAUGGACUUGAAAUGGAUAAAUAUUUAUGAGAGAAAUGAAUCAGAUUCACGAUUUUCCACUUGCGUCUCUAUCUAAAAUCCAAUCUAUUAAUAAUCUCGUUGCUUCGUUGCAAACAAUUCUAACCUUGUCUUCAUAAGUUUAAAUCACACUUUCUUUCAGGUAUCUUUAAGAAUUCAAUUUGGUGUAUACAAGUAACUCAGAGGAUAUUGCUUACAGCAUAUUUAUGUUCUUCAGGCCACCCAAGGUGAUCGGAAUCGGUCCAGUUAAUUUGUUAAAACUGAGAUCUCUGAAAAAGAAAUUAUGCUCAGAAUAAAUAUUAUUCGACAAGAAAAAUGUUUUAGUCCCGAUAACAUAACAAAAGAAGCAUCUUGUUUUUCACCAAAAUUUGAGUACUGAUUGCAUCUAUUGUAACUGGUUCUAACGCAUGUGAAUAAUGCAAGAAACUUCCUAGUAUUACUUACAAAGAUUUUAAAGUAGUAAUAUGUCCAAGAUAGUCGGGAACUUCUCCUAUAAGAUUGCAACUCCUCAGCACUCUGUCAAAAAAAUUGAUACUAUGUAAAUUUUUAAGUGCAAUGCACUUAUGCUAAUAAUCCAAGCAAUUCCCUUACAAUGUUUGAAUAUUUGUCAAGCCAAUAAGUUGCGGAAAAGGAGAAUCUGAUCCUUUCAAGUCGCUUAUUCUCCUGCAUAACAUUUAUUAAUCACUGUAAAACUCAAUAAGAGAAAAAUUGAAUUUUAAAUCCUUGACCAAAAUCUAUAAAGCACUAACACAAAUACCGAACACGAUACUGACGUUGACAUACAUGUAGUGUGUCGGACACUAGACUCACAUUCAAUUUAAAUGUCGGUGUUAAAGAUCACAAGAAAAUACAUCAUACUUACAAGCCAUUGAGGUUUUUCAGAUAUGAAAUUCCAGAAGGAAUUGGACCACUCAAACCACUCCCUUGCAUCACCCUGUCAAAAUUAAAAGUUAUUAUUUUGACAAACCAGCUUAACUAAGAAAAAAAAUUAUGAUUUAGAAUUUCGNGAUCGAUUUUGAGCAACCUGGGGGAAGUGGAUCAAGUACACCGCAACCAUACUCGACCGGGGUGUUACCAGCUUUUGCAAAUCAUGUGCGUGCUAGAUCCGAGUUGCGUCAUCCAGAUGUUCGUCACGAACUGCAAGUAGAUCUAGUGAAGCACAUAUGGACAAAGUUUGGAAUGUAUCAUGAUUGAAGAUGAUUUCUAUCGUACUAAAUAAAUUAUUUGUGUGUUGUAUUUCAUUUUAAGUUAUUUGUGUGCCGCGUGUUUAGUUUGUUGUAUUGCAUUUUAAGUUAAGAAAAUAAAAAUAAAUUAUUUUGCAAAAUUUUGUUUUUUUCAAAAAACCUAAAAAAUAAAUAGUUAAUUGUAUUAUUUUAAUUUAAUUAUAAUCGAUAAUUUUAUGUAACUAUAAAAACAAAAAUUAAAUAAGAAUAAGAAAUACAAAGUGGUGGGGUAGAGUGUUGAAUGAAAAACCAUUGGAGAGGGUAAAAGUUGAAUGAGUAUUGAAUAAGAGAGAGAAAAUGAUGUGGAGUGUUGGAAAUUGAAAAAAUAGGUGUUGAAAGGGAAAAUCAUUGGACAUGGUCUUACAAUCCAUCUAAAUAAAAGUUUUUAUUUUUUUAUUUUUUUUUACAAAAACAAAACGAUAUUCAUUCAUUCAAAUCGAUAGAGUACAUCAGAUACAAACAUCACUAAAAACGUAAAGGGUGAAUUUGCGAACAAACUCACAACACCCAAUUUAACAGCAAUAUAAUAAAUUUUCUUUCUUUCAUCUCUAGUUUUCUCUCUUAAUUUCUAGAGUGUGAUCCCUACUCGAAUUGGACCAUAUCAUAAUGCUACUACAAUUAUGAUUUUUGGUACACUUUAAUUUAUGUUUAUGAAAGAUUUCCAUAUUGUAGACAAGCUCAUAAGAAUUUUAUAGACAAACCCUAUAUUAUAAUUGUCGUUUGACAACAUAAUAUUAUAAAAAUAUAGUUUUUGUGGGGAUUAUGAAAAUAUUCUUAUUACCAUUAUUCACUCAUAUAAAAAUAAGCUCAUAAGAAUUUUAUAGACAAACCCUAUAUUAUAAUUGUCUUUUGACAAAAUAAUAUUAUAAAAAUAUUGUUUUUGUGGGGAUUAUAAAAAUAUUCUUAUUACCAUUAUUCACUAAUAUAAAAAUAUUGAGAAAAACGUCAUUCCAUAAUUCCUCUAAAAAAGAAAACACAUUCCUUAGUUAUAGUGUAUGUUCGCUCAUGAAUUGAAUUAUAAAAUAAAUCACACUUAAUUUGAACUUAAUUUGAACAAGAUAAACGAAAUGAUAAACAUUAUAUCCUUUUUCAAUAAAACUAAUUAAUAUUAUUUAUUUGGAAAAUUAAAGGUUUUUUUUUUUUUUUUGUAACAAAGUUUGUUUUUGUUACGUGCAAAUUUAAAUUUCCAUGAAAGACAGGAUAUGAAAGUUUUUGUUACCUAUAAGGUGUGUUUGAUAUGCUAAAAAAUGAAGGAUAAAACAUAACAACUUCAGUUGUAUAAUGUUUGAUUUGUAAAACUCUUUAGGGAUAGAACAAAUUGAAGGCAAAGAACAUAACAAAAAGCGUAUAAGGCUAGAUAUUAUUCAAUACUAUAAAAUUUUGUUACGUGUUGUUCUGUCUUAUUUUGUGCUAUAUAUUUUGUUUUGAGGAGUUCUGUCCAGUUGUUACUGUUUAACAUAUCAAACACACCCAUAAUAAUGGUUUCUUGUGUAGUUAAAAUUCUAUUAUUAAGAUCAAUAACAUUGUUAAAAAUCUCAAGUGCAAAAUAUAAUAACAAUUCUAAUGGAAAAAACAAAAGACUUCGUUAAUGUUACUUCAAAAAAAAAAAAAGACUUCAUUAAUGUUAAAAAAGGAAGAAAGAGCGAGUGAUAGAGAGAGGAUCCAUCAAUUUAUUUAUUUUUUGUUUUUGGUGAAAUGACCCAUCAAUUUUACCAGUGAGAUGAGUGUAUGUAAAAAAAUAAUGAAUUUAUUGGAGAGAGGGGGUAAUGUAUCACAAUUAUUUAUUAUUGAAGAAAAGAUUAGACAUCAAAGUUAUUUGAAAGAAAGAGUGAAUGCGAGAAAAAAAAAAAUUUAUUGCUGGAUUAGAAUGAGGGUAUAAUAAAAAAAACAAAAAAGUACACUUCAUUAAUUUGAGGGUGUUAUUCUAAAAUGACACGUAAAAAGAAAUAGAUGAAAUAUAAUUAUCCUAGUAAAUAGAUUUUCAAUGAGAAGCUCGUUUUAUUCAUUUUGAGAUGGAAAAGAUAACAAAAUAUUAAAAUAAAAAAUUGAGGUUGUACCAUGUUAAACUUGUAAAUAGAACUGAGAAAUAGUUAACUUGUGCAACAAGUUAACUUGAUAUGCAAGCUUCUGCAUAAGUUAGACAUUAGAAUAAUGACAGCUAUGAGUUAGUUAGGAUUAUACACAUAACACACAUUCUCUUUUCUUCCUAGCUUCUGCAAUUUCUAUGGUUUUCAUUAUGUUGAUGAUGAACUUCAUGACAGUAUCAGAGCUAAUGCCGCUGCGAACGGUGAUGGAAAUUUGAUUCCUCUAAUUCUUGAUCAUUAUGAACAACCUAGUACUGUUUAUCAUGUUCAUCUUUUUGAUAGUCCCUCUUAUGUUGCAGUCACUCCAAUUUUAACACAUCCGAAUUGUCAUGCUAGGGCUCGAUCCAUGAGACGAGCUUUUGGAGCAAAGAACAAAUUUGAUUUUGUUGAUGGUUCUAUACAUGUUUCUACGGGGUUUGAUCCAAGUUUCAAGUCUUGGAAUCGCUGCAAUAUGCUUGUUCAUUUGUGGAAAAUGAACUAUCUUGAUGAAUCAAUUGCGCACCACAUAGUUUUUCUGGAAAAUGCAAUUGACGUUUGGAAUGAGCUAAAGCAAAGAUUUUCGUAAGGUGAUUAUAUGAAACACGGCUGAAGUUUGCUAUAAGAAACAUGAUUUUCCUCCUCAUGCUAUCUACAUUAGGACUUGUUUGGGACUUUUGAAACUUAAAAGACCACUUUGGGAAAAACGAAAAACUUAAAAGGACCUUUAGAUGCAUUUGACCUUAAUAUUUCAAUAAGUUGAAUACAGAAUUUCCAAGAUAAAGUUUAUACUUCCAGUUUCUUUUUUUAUAUAUAUAGUUUAUUUUUUAAAAUCUAUAAGGAGAAUCCAUGCUGAUAGAACGCAUAUCUGUAUGAGACAUAAAUUCUGCAGUUUCACUUAUUAAGAUGCUCUCUUCUUGAGUCUCUGGUGUAUAAACUUUUUCACUUUGUUCACAAUACUGUUGAAUAAUUUCCAACUGUUGAUGAUACUGUUGAAUAAUUUCCAACUUAUUGCCUUCAAAAACUUGGCUUGUGUCUUGUUUAACUUCUUCAACAUCAGAUUGUCCUUCAAGCAUGCUUACAACUGAUGACAUGGUUGGUCUAUGCAUCGGAGAAACACGAGUGCAUAAAAGAGCUACAUUGAUCAUGAUCAUUGCUUCCUCUUUGUUGAAAUCUUCACCUAAUCUCUCAUCAAUUAGGUCCAUUAUGUUACCUUCUUCCUUUAAGAGAUGCACCUGAUAAAGAUGAAAUACAA